rnacentral:pre_miRNA from 1 species
GCUCAGGGGCAGGGGUUUCUUUCGGCCUCCAGCCGACAUGGAAUGUUGUAGGCCGGCGGAAACUACUUGCCUCUGAGC